AUACUUACCUGGCAGGGGAGAUUACCAUGAUCAUGAAGGUGGUUUUCCCAGGGCAAGGCUUAUCCAUUGCACUCCAGAUGUGCUGACCCCUUCAAUUUCCCAAAAUGUGGAAAACUCGACUGCAUAAUUUAUGGUAGUGGGGGACUACAUUCGCGCUUUCUCCUG
ensembl:snRNA U1 U1 spliceosomal RNA